GUUCUUUCUCUCAGUCUUCCAGUCUCCCAUUUAGCUAUUCCUUUCUAAUGAUGAGAUCUAGUGUUCCCACAGAGCAAGGCAAAGCUGUAUUUGGAUGAUGAUGUGUGUCAACAGAAGAUCGUAGUGGAUUCUUGUUACAGGAUGGAUAAGUAUAAGCUGUAUCACAGUAGGGAUGGGAGACAAGCAAUACGGCCAGAAGAUACUCCAAAUAAGGGAGAAG